ensembl:snRNA U6 U6 spliceosomal RNA
AUGCUUGCUUCAUCAGCACAUAUACUGAAAAUGGGAUGAUACAGAGAAGAUUAGCAUGGCCCCUGUGCAAGGAUGACACGCAAAUUCAUGAAGUGUUCCAUAUUUUU